AUUGAACGCUGGCGGCAUGCCUUACACAUGCAAGUCGAACGGUAACAGGUCUUCGGAUGCUGACGAGUGGCGAACGGGUGAGUAAUACAUCGGAACGUGCCUAGUAGUGGGGGAUAACUACUCGAAAGAGUGGCUAAUACCGCAUGAGAUCUACGGAUGAAAGCAGGGGAUCGCAAGACCUUGUGCUACUAGAGCGGCCGAUGGCAGAUUAGGUAGUUGGUGGGAUAAAAGCUUACCAAGCCGACGAUCUGUAGCUGGUCUGAGAGGACGAUCAGCCACACUGGGACUGAGAAACGGCCCGGACUCCUACGGGAGGCAGCAGUGGGGAAUUUUGGACAAUGGGCGAAAGCCUGAUCCAGCAAUGCCGCGUGCAGGAUGAAGGCCUUCGGGUUGUAAACUGCUUUUGUACGGAACGAAAAGCCCCGGGUUAAUACCCUGGGGUCAUGGCGGUACCGUAAGAGUAAGCACCGGCUAACUACGUGCCAGCAGCCGCCGUAA
rnacentral:rRNA from 1 species